AUACCUCAUAAGUCUUUACGGAGAAAGCUUUAUGCGCCAUUGGAUGUGCCUGCACUUGAUUAGUUUGUUGGUGGGGUAAUGGCCUACCAAGACAAUGAUCAAUAGCUGAUUUGAGAGGAUGAUCAGCCACAUUGGGACUGAGACACGGCCCAAACUCCUACGGGAGGCAGCAGUAGGGAAUCUUGCACAAUGGGGGAAACCCUGAUGCAGCGAUGCCGCGUGAGUGAAGAAGGCCCUUGGGUUGUAAAGCUCUUUCGUCGGGGAAGAAAAUG
rnacentral:rRNA from 1 species